rnacentral:rRNA from 1 species
AGAGUUUGAUCAUGGCUCAGAACGAACGCUGGCGGCAGGCCUAACACAUGCAAGUCGAACGCUCCGCAAGGGGAGUGGCAGACGGGUGAGUAACGCGUGGGAACCUUCCCAGUGGUACGGAAUAGCCCAGGGAAACUUGGGGUAAUACCGGAUAAGCCCGUAAGGGGAAAGAUUUAUCGCCAUUGGAUCGGCCCGCGUCUGAUUAGCUAGUUGGUGAGGUAAUGGCUCACCAAGGCGACGAUCAGUAGCUGGUCUGAGAGGAUGAUCAGCCACACUGGGACUGAGACACGGCCCAGACUCCUACGGGAGGCAGCAGUGGGGAAUAUUGGACAAUGGGCGAAAGCCUGAUCCAGCCAUGCCGCGUGAGUGAUGAAGGCCUUAGGGUUGUAAAGCUCUUUUGGCGGGGACGAUAAUGACGG